rnacentral:misc_RNA from 1 species
GAACGCAUAUUGCGCCUCCUGGUAUUCCGGGAGGCAUGCCUGUUCGAGCGUCAUUAAAAACCAUCAAGCACUCUUGCUUGGACUUGGGAGAUGAGUGCCUACGGUCCUCACUGCCGAAAUUGAAUGGCGGAUAGCCUUGGGGUGCUCCAGCGUAGUAAGUCUUUCGCUUGGAACCCGAGACGGUCCCGCCCUCAACCCCCACAUUCCAUGGUUGACCUCGGAUCAGGUAGGGAUACCCGCUGAACUUAAG